CCCUGCUCUCAUCAAUUACACAAUCCAAUGACAGAUCACUCCUCAUUCAUUUGUCUGCUCACAUAUGCAUGGUAAUAAACGCAUCAGAUAUCAAGGAUCGACACAAACACCAGCUUUGACGUGUGGCGCUAGCUGACGCUAAACAGAUGCUGCAGUCAGGUCAAGUGCAUAUACCAUUAAGGAGCUGCUCUAACUUGGCAACUACGACAGGGUAACUAUACAGCCCAUCCUUUACUGAGGCAAGGAUUUAUGUCCAUCAGCCCCACUUCGACCCAGACCCAGAGGAAUACUACAGAAAGGCCAUACUUGGCUGAAAUUUUCUGGAAAGG